rnacentral:rRNA from 1 species
UACGUAGGGUGCAAGCGUUGUCCGGAAUUAUUGGGCGUAAAGAGCUCGUAGGUGGCCUGUCGCGUCGGCUGUGAAAACUCGGGGCUCAACUCCGAGCUUGCAGUCGAUACGGGCAGGCUAGAGUUCGGCAGGGGAGACUGGAAUUCCUGGUGUAGCGGUGAAAUGCGCAGAUAUCAGGAGGAACACCGAUGGCGAAGGCAGGUCACUGGGCCGCAACUGACGCUGAGGAGCGAAAGCAUGGGGAGCGAACAGG